AGUAAUACAUAGGAACGUACCUUCUAGUGGGGAAUAACCACGGGAAACUGUGGCUAAUACCGCAUAAUGACGUGAGUCGAAAGCCGGCCUCUAUUUAUAAGCUGGCGCUAGUAGAGCGGCCUAUGUCCCAUUAGCUAGUUGGUAGGGUAAUGGCCUACCAAGGCUACGAUGGGUAACUGGUCUGAGAGGAUGAUCAGUCACACUGGGACUGAGACACGGCCCAGACUCC
rnacentral:rRNA from 1 species